rnacentral:rRNA from 1 species
GACGAACGCUGGCGGCGUGCUUAACACAUGCAAGUCGAACGGAAAGGCCCUGCUUUUGUGGGGUGCUCGAGUGGCGAACGGGUGAGUAACACGUGAGUAACCUGCCCUUGACUUUGGGAUAACUUCAGGAAACUGGGGCUAAUACCGGAUAGGAGCUCCUGCUGCAUGGUGGGGGUUGGAAAGUUUCGGCGGUUGGGGAUGGACUCGCGGCUUAUCAGCUUGUUGGUGGGGUAGUGGCUUACCAAGGCUUUGACGGGUAGCCGGCCUGAGAGGGUGGCCGGGCACAUUGGGACUGAGAUACGGCCCAGACUCCUACGGGAGGCAGCAGUGGGGAAUAUUGCACAGUGGGCGGAAGCCUGAUGCAGCAACGCCGCGUGCGGGAUGACGGCCUUCGGGUUAUAAACCGCUUUCGCCUGUGACGAAGCGUGAGUGACGGUAAUGGGUAAAGAAGCACCGGCUAACUACGUG